AAACUUGUUGAAUUUUUAUUCCCCAUUCAUGCAUAGAGUUCUGGACUCAUUUGCACUAUGUAGAAUGUUUCUGCUGUUAUUGUCAGGUACUUGUCAGUUGUAACCAAUGAUGCAAAGGUGUUAUAGGACCUCUUCAACUUGUAAUCAUGCAUGAUUCAUUGUGAUUUCUGAGCGCUUGAAGUGCUACCUGCUUCAACACCUCAUUUUGACUAUGAAUAUUUCUGGUGCUUAAUAAGUCAAGCAGGACAGAUAAGAAUGAGCAGUGCCUUUUAGCCCAGUAGUUCACAGAUGAAGCCGUCUAGAUGUUUCACCAUAUUGAAGAAGGUACUCCUAAUUUUUCUUUUUAGUGCAUCUUUCAAUGCUGAAAAUGUGAGUUAGCAAUCCACUUGGACCGACAAGCAUCAUCCUGACGUUCCACGCCAUAUGAUUAACCAGAAGCUAAUUCAUGGAGUCGAACCUGUGUAUCUAUUUCGCUUUAAUGUGGUCAACUCUGGGCAUUUGUGUUGGUUCCAGCUUGUCUGGUCCAUACUCAGCCAAGUAACAAAUCCUGGUCUACAUUUGUGUCCAUGUUUUCAAUCAAGCUUGAGUUCAAACACAUGGACAAUAGCCAUAUGCAACCUGUAUGUGUACUGCCUGAGAAGCUGAAGAGUAAAAUUAUAAAAUGAAAAAUUUUGGCCUGUCAAAUGACCUACAUGGACAAAAUUGUGAAAGCCAGCUUCCAAGGCCUUUUUUACAUGCAAAAGAAUGCACCUUAACAUAUGAUUAAGUUAGAUAACUGUGUUGACUGAUAUAUUGAAAUUUUCAACCUCUAAUCUUGUCUGAAGUCUAAACUUUAUGUAUAUAAUCUAAAUAAAAUCCUAUUGUUUUCGGAAUGUUACAUUGUCUCUGCAGUCCUUUUAUUGUUUACAAUCAGUUUGCUAUCCUUUAUCAUAGAAAUUUGUAUUUUCUUGAUAAUAUUUUAAGACUGGAUCUAUAUUAUCAAACUGCAUCAUGCUUUAGAGUGACUGUUUGGCUUAUCUGAUUGAUAAUACGUGCACCAUUGUUUGAGUUUGAAAUUAUUGCGGUGUGUUGGGUUCUCUAUCCUGCAACUGUCUUUGGAAUUAAAUCAUGGAAGGAUACAUUUAAACAAAAAAAAAGAAAAGAAAAAUCAGCCUACUAGAUUGAGCUGGUAAAGUUAAUCUAUUUCAAGGCUGGACAUUAUCCAA